AAAGCAGAGCUCCAAAACAGAAAUGAGGGUUUUGGGGAAGUGAAAGCUCAGACAACAUGAGAGGAGGCAGCAGAGGGAAGGGUUGGGUGUUGCCCCCCUCUGCAGCCCAUGAUCUCCAAUUUCCCCCCAAUAUUCAACACCCUUCCUUCUUCCAGAUUACAUCUGGGAUUGAACUCGGGUCUUCUGAUAUUCAUAUCGGUUGUGAUCUUGACCUGGGACCAUGCUUGUUGACUAUCUUACUCUGCUUUUCUUUUCUUUUCUUUUACCGAAUACGGUGAAAUUAUCUCAACACUGCGUCUGAUCUUGAUCUUCGUACAUUGUGAGGAAAAACGUCAUUUUUUAGAGGCGAUGAUGAUGAAUUUCUCGUUGUUGUCUGAGUGAAUCAAACGAAGCUUGAGACUUGCCGUAUCUUGGCGGGGUAAUUUCCGGAGGUUUGGCGGUAGAAACUGGUGUUUUCACCGUUGAAGCAGCCGCGUUGUUUGCAGCCAUGGCGGAUCUUCUUUCAUUCUACGAUUCAGCAGGUUUUAAUUUCUUCUCUAUUACAUUUGAAUUGUUUUUUCUUAUGGUCGUCGGAAACGCAAUCCCUGAUCGGGUUCGUACCGUGAAUUGGAUCGGACGAACCAAAACGAAAAUCGUGCCAUGACCAGCGAAUUAUGGUUGUUUUUUCGGAACGCCAUUUAGGUUUUUUAAAUGUGAAUAGUUAAGAGGAUAAACCUGAUUUGUCUAUGAUUUAGUAAGUAAAAAUAACUGAUGUAUUUUUGAA